CAAAACUAGUUUGUCGGGUUAAAAACCCGCCCCCUGGGUAUUUGCUGGCCGGGUGGCGUCCCUCCCAGUGAGGUCCGAUGCCGCGUCCCGGCCUUUUUCUGGGGAGGGCGCUGUGCCUCUCUGUACAGUAUCUGAUCCAUACCGAUUACUCUGAGAAAACGAGAGUGUUCCACGAGGGCGUCAGCCAGAAUAUAUUAGAAUGGAAUAAUAGCAUAGGACUUCAUUCCUGAGUUUUUUGGUUUAACGGAAUGGAGGAACGCAUAUAGGGAUAGUUGGGGGCGUUCGUAUUUUUCGUCACAGGCGAAAUUCUCGUAUUUUUUCAGACGAACUACUGCGAAAGCAUCUGCUAGGAUGUUUUCUUUUUCAAGAAAGCAAGUUAUGGAAUCGAAGACUAUCACAAACCCUCCUAGUCUUCCCAUAUUCUAUGUCUACUACAGAUUGCGACUGCCAUCCCUGACGCUUCCGCAACUUCCUCCAAAUCAAACCCAUUGGUUCAUCGGGGAGUCGGUGACCGCUGACACUGACAUGAAUGAUGGACCGGGCCCCCAGCUUGAUUCCUGCCUCUUACUUGUUUAUUACCGGGAGCUACCUAGUUGGACAGCCGAGGAUAAAUGACCAUUAAUUUCUUGCUAAUCGCGGCUCGCCUCCACGACCUACCUCGUCACUGAUUAGUUGGCAACUCUUCCACUACAAACCCAUCUCCCCGAGAGCUACUGAUCAACCACAAUAUUUGUUUUUUACACGAUCUCGGUGACCCGGUCCAACCCAGGACAACUAUCCCGGUGUCG
rnacentral:rRNA from 1 species